GAUGAACGCUGGCGGCGUGCCUAAUACAUGCAAGUCGAGCGAACAGACGAGGAGCUUGCUCCUUCGACGUUAGCGGCGGACGGGUGAGUAACACGUAGGUAACCUACCUAUAAGACUGGGAUAACUUCGGGAAACCGGAGCUAAUACCAGAUAAUAUUUCGAACCGCAUGGUUCGAUAGUGAAAGAUGGCUUUGCUAUCACUUAUAGAUGGACCUGCGCCGUAUUAGCUAGUUGGUAAGGUAACGGCUUACCAAGGCAACGAUACGUAGCCGACCGGAGAGGGUGAUCGGCCACACUGGAACUGAGACACGGUCCAGACUCCUACGGGAGGCAGCAGUAGGGAAUCUUCCGCAAAGGGCGAAAGCCUGACGGAGCAACGCCGCGUGAGUGAUGAAGGUCUUCGGAUCGUAAAACUCUGUUAUUAGGGAAGAACAAACGUGUAAGUAACUGUGCACGUCUUGACGGUACCUAAUCAGAAAGCCACGGCUAACUACGUG
rnacentral:rRNA from 1 species